UACGUGAGGGGCGAACGUUGUUCGGUGUCACUGGGCUUAAAGGGCGCGUAGGUGGCUGUACAAGUAAGGUGUGAAAGCCCCCGGCUUACCCGGGGAAUUGCGCCUUAUACUGUGCGGCUUGAGGGUCACAGGGGAAAGAGGAACUCCAGGUGUAGUGGUGAAAUACGCAGAUAUCUGGGGGAAGGCCGGCGGCGAAGGCGUCUUUCUGGGUGAUUCCUGACACUGAGGCGCGAAAGCGUGGGGAG
rnacentral:rRNA from 1 species